UUGGCGGACGGGUGAGUAACGCGUGGAUAACCUGCCGUAUACCGGGGGAUAACACUUAGAAAUAGGUGCUAAUACCGCAUAAGCGCACGGCUCCGCAUGGGGCAGUGUGAAAAACUCCGGUGGUAUACGAUGGAUCCGCGUCUGAUUAGCUAGUUGGCGGGGUAACGGCCCACCAAGGCAGCGAUCAGUAGCCGGCCUGAGAGGGUGGACGGCCACAUUGGGACUGAGACACGGCCCAAACUCCUACGGGAGGCAGCAG
rnacentral:rRNA from 1 species